rnacentral:rRNA from 1 species
GUGAGGAAUUUUCCGCAAUGGGCGAAAGCCUGACGGAGCAAUGCCGCGUGAAGGAUGAAGGCCUAUGGGUUGUAAACUUCUUUUCUCAGAAAAGAAUUAUGACGGUAUCUGAGGAAUAAGCAUCGGCUAACUCUGUGCCAGCAGCCGCGGUAAGACAGAGGAUGCAAGCGUUAUCCGGAAUGAUUGGGCGUAAAGCGUCUGUAGGUUGUUUAAAAAGUAUUCUGUCAAAGAUUAGGGCUUAACCCUAGAUAGGCAGAAUAAACUUUUAAGCUAGAGUUUGGUAGAGGCAGAGGGAAUUCCCGGUGGAGCGGUGAAAUGCGUAGAUAUCGGGAGGAACACCAAAGGCGAAGGCACUCUGCUGGGCCAAUACUAACACUGAGAGACGAAAGCGAGGGGAGCAAACAGGAUUAGAAACCCCGGUAGUCC